UAGGGAAUUUUCGUCAAUGGGGGGAACCCUGAACGAGCAAUGCCGCGUGUGUGAAGAAGGUCUUCGGAUCGUAAAGCACUGUUGUAAGUGAAGAAUGCAUAUAGAGGAAAUGCUAUGUGGGUGACGGUAGCUUACCAGAAAGCCACGGCUAACUACGUGCCAGCAGCCGCGGUAAUACGUAGGUGGCAAGCGUUAUCCGGAAUCAUUGGGCGUAAAGGGUGCGUAGGUGGCACGAUAAGUCUGAAGUAAAAGGCAACAGCUCAACUGUUGUAUGCUUUGGAAACUGUCGAGCUAGAGUGCAGAAGAGGGCGAUGGAAUUCCAUGUGUAGCGGUAAAAAUGCGUAGAUAUAUGGAGGAACACCAGUGGCGAAGGCGGUCGCCUGGUCUGUAACUGACACUGAUGCACGAAAGCGUGGGGAGCAAAUAGGAUUAGAUACC
rnacentral:rRNA from 1 species